UUAAAGAAAGCGUAAUAGCUCACUGGUCGAGUCGGCCUGCGCGGAAGAUGUAACGGGGCUAAACCAUGCACCGAAGCUGCGGCAGCGACGCUGAUGCGUUGUUGGGUAGGGGAGCGUUCUGUAAGCCUGCGAAGGUGUGCUGUGAGGCAUGCUGGAGGUAUCAGAAGUGCGAAUGCUGACAUAAGUAACGAUAAAGCGGGUGAAAAGCCCGCUCGCCGGAAGACCAAGGGUUCCUGUCCAACGUUAAUCGGGGCAGGGUGAGUCGACCCCUAAGGCGAGGCCGAAAGGCGUAGUCGAUGGGAAACAGGUUAAUAUUCCUGUGCUUGGUGUUACUGCGAAGGGGGGACGGAGAAGGCUAUGUUGGCCGGGCGACGGUUGUCCCGGUUUAAGCGUGUAGGCUGGUUUUCCAGGCAAAUCCGGAAAAUCAAGGCUGAGGCGUGAUGACGAGGCACUACGGUGCUGAAGCAACAAAUGCCCUGCUUCCAGGAAAAGCCUCUAAGCAUCAGGUAACAUCAAAUCGUACCCCAAACCGACACAGGUGGUCAGGUAGAGAAUACCAAGGCGCUUGAGAGAACUCGGGUGAAGGAACUAGGCAAAAUGGUGCCGUAACUUCGGGAGAAGGCACGCUGAUAUGUAGGUGAAGUCCCUCGCGGAUGGAGCUGAAAUCAGUCGAAGAUACCAGCUGGCUGCAACUGUUUAUUAAAAACACAGCACUGUGCAAACACGAAAGUGGACGUAUACGGUGUGACGCCUGCCCGGUGCCGGAAGGUUAAUUGAUGGGGUCAGCGCAAGCGAAGCUCUUGAUCGAAGCCCCGGUAAACGGCGGCCGUAACUAUAACGGUCCUAAGGUAGCGAAAUUCCUUGUCGGGUAAGUUCCGACCUGCACGAAUGGCGUAAUGAUGGCCAGGCUGUCUCCACCCGAGACUCAGUGAAAUUGAACUCGCUGUGAAGAUGCAGUGUACCCGCGGCAAGACGGAAAGACCCCGUGAACCUUUACUAUAGCUUGACACUGAACAUUGAGCCUUGAUGUGUAGGAUAGGUGGGAGGCUUUGAAGUGUGGACGCCAGUCUGCAUGGAGCCGAC
rnacentral:rRNA from 1 species